AAGAGCAAGCGAGACCGCGAGGUGGAGCGAAUCUCAAAAACCGAUCCCAGUUCGGAUUGCAGGCUGCAACUCGCCUGCAUGAAGUCGGAGUUGCUAGUAAUCGUGGAUCAGAAUGCCACGGUGAAUGCGUUCCCGGGUCUUGUACACACCGCCCGUCACACCAUGGAAGUUGGGGGCGCCCGAAGUUGGUCGAAAGAUAGAUUACCUAAGGCGAAAUCAAUGACUGGGGUGAAGUCGUAACAAGGUAGC
rnacentral:rRNA from 1 species